rnacentral:rRNA from 1 species
AAAUUGAAGAGUUUGAUCAUGGCUCAGAUUGAACGCUGGCGGCAGGCCUAACACAUGCAAGUCGAACGGUAACAGAAAGCAGCUUGCUGCUCUGCUGACGAGUGGCGGACGGGUGAGUAAUGUCUGGGAAACUGCCCGAUGGAGGGGGAUAACUACUGGAAACGGUAGCUAAUACCGCAUAACGUCGCAAGACCAAAGAGGGGGACCUUCGGGCCUCUUGCCAUCGGAUGUGCCCAGAUGGGAUUAGCU